GGCGGGGAGGCGCCUCCGCGCUGGGCUGCCUCCUCCGGCGGAGCGGAGCGGAGCAGAGCGCAGCGCCGCGGGCUAGCGCGCCCCGAGGGGAGCGGCGAGGCCGGGCGCUCGGCAGCCCGCCCGCCCCCCUCGUCGGCGCGGGUGGUGUCGCAGGGGCGGCGCUGCCGGUGCCCGGCUGGGGUCUCACCUGACCGGGUCCCGGGGGAAGCGGAAGAAGGCCAGGAAGACAUCGUUAAUCCACAACCCAGAUACUGAGACAAACUAAGAGCUGACUAUGAAUGUUUUAAGCAAUAAAGUAACUAAAGCAGGAAGUACAACUAGUAUGAAGACUUCAUCAGUUCUCUCAUAGGUAAAAACAAAACAGAGCUCAUUAAAAAAAAAAUGAAAUAGAAAAGUGAAUAGUUGGAAGAAGAAAAAUACUGAUUCAACAACUGUGACCUGCUGAUGGUUUGAGGUAAUAGAAGUAGGAACUGUGAAAUCUAUAAAUUCUGGUGGCAGACAAGAAUUGUUUCAGGUACUGUAGUGCUGUAAUGCUAUAGUGUAAUAAUUCAGCUUUUGAUAUAAGUAUCUAGUACCUAAUUCCUUAACGUCACAUAAAAAAGAAUCCUGACAAGGAGAUUUGCUGGGCAUUUGGAAGCAUAAUCUAAAUAUAUGAAAUAGGCAAAGUAUAAGUCUUUUCAAAAGUGCAUAAUGUAAAAGAAAACUCAUUUGAUUUGUUUGGGCUGCUUCUAAACUUUACAGCUUUUUUUCUUUGGAAGGAUAAUGGUUAUGUUUUGCCUUGGCAUCAAAUGCCCUUUGAACUAGGAAAGUUGAGCGUAUCUCACUGGAGUAAUUUCAACUACAGCAAUUUAUUUGGUGUUAAUUCUUUGUCAGAAUUCUAAUUUGGGCAUGUAGCUGUGUCUGUUCCUGUUUGUGGAUGCAGAAGAGCAUCUCCCUACCAGCCACGGGGCACCUUCCUGUCUGGUGAAGUCUUGUUACUGAUUUUCUUGUUGCUGUUCAAGAGCUAAUUCUUAGUGAUAUAGUGGACAAUACAUUUCCCAUGUGACUUGUAUACUUAAUUACUGUGUUGACUUACUUAGUAUUAGCUUUGCAAAUUAUUUUAAAUGCUAAAUUUAUAUCCUUCACUAUGCUCCAUUUGCUUUUUCCUAUUGUGAUGGCACAUAGCAGUCUAAAGCUGAGAGUUUACUUGGUUCUCUGAGCACAAAACAGUUAUCAGAUAGUACACAGCCCCUGUAUCGCUCAGGAGGAAUCAUCCAACAGGCAAUAAGGAACGCUAUCAAUGACAUUCAGGCAGUUGGAGAGUGUCAGUUAUGUAGGUGUAAGAUCCAAGAUCACUUUUUCUGUCACACCUUCCGAUCUACCAAGAAAAGAUAGACAUAAUUCAGAAGUAGGUCUGGAUCUUAUGAUGUAGAUUGAGUAGCCAGCCUAAGCCAAUGCCAAAAAUUGGUUUAGCUGCACCUGCUAACUGCCCCCACUUUCCUGGACAGUCACCACCAUUCGUAUAGAUAUGCAGUGAAUUGUGCAAGUCAGCUAAUCAGAUCAGAACUAACCAUUUUUUAAAUACAGUCAUUUGUUUUUAAUGAGUAAAUUAGUUUUAUUUCAGAUGACUUUGUCCUCUGGCUCACUAUGCAGAUUGCCUACAUAUUCAUGCUGACCCAAGGGAAUGCACAGAGGAAAGAGCAGGUUCACUUUCAAUUACAGUAAUAGUUUAUGAGCAUGGCCAGAUAGUGUUAAUAUGAAGCUCCCUAAUUUUUGAGCUGCUAGAUAGAAUUAGGAAAACACUUUUAAAACCUGUUUCAGCAUGAAGAUAUACUUUUUCACCCUCAGAUAAUGGAAAAAUUGUUUUGCCCAACAUCAAAGGGCUUGCUUUCCUGCUAAAUUGAUUCACCAAACAAGAAACACAUGCUGAUAAUCCUUCUUAGGGUUCUGAACAUGCCAAAGAAGAUGAUUAUAAUGACAGCAUUAUGAAGAAAUUAACCAUGGCAUCAUUUGAAUCACUGUACAUGCAUGUUAAGGCAGUUAUUUUCUAAAUACAUGUAUGCACAUGAGUUUUCCUACUGAAGCGAAUAGAAUAAUUUAUUUAACUCAUUCAGGCUUGCUCAACAGUGCUUUUGUUGACAGGCUAAUUUUUAAAGUGAUGCCUAUAUAAUGGAAAGAGAAUUCACUUAAUUAUUUUCAAAACCCAACAGUAUUAUUAGAAAUGCAUUCUUUUUAAAGAAAUUUAGUUUGUAUUACUACAUAGUAAGAACUUCCAAAAAUUAGCUUCUGAAGCUUGUAGAGUGUGCAGAAAUCACUCAAACUUUUUUUUUUUUUGCUGAGUAGCCUUUGAAAUGUGCAUAUAUAAUGUCUGAUGGUAAUUUUGUUUUUAAAUAAUCUUUCUGAUUCUUGAAGUGUUGUUCACAAUAUAUUUUUAAUGUAUCUAUCCAUACUGCUUUCAUAUUGUGUGGGGUUUAUGUAAUGUAUUGUGUUGUAUGGAUGAUCUGUAUCAACUGGAUAAAUUAUUUUUAAAGGAA